UUAAGUGACUAAGCGUACAUGGUGGAUGCCUUGGCAGUCAGAGGCGAUGAAGGACGUACUAACCUGCGAUAAGCUGUGAGAAGUCGGUAAGAGACGCUAUUACUCACAGAUUUCCGAAUGGGGAAACCCACCCGAGAUAACUCGGGUAUCUGUUACUGAAUACAUAGGUAACAGAGGCGAACCGGGAGAACUGAAACAUCUAAGUACCCCGAGGAAAAGAAAUCAACCGAGAUUCCCUCAGUAGCGGCGAGCGAACGGGGAUUAGCCCUUAAGCAUCUUGGAAGUUAGUGGAACGGUCCUGGAAAGGCCGGCGAUACAGGGUGAUAGCCCCGUACACGAAAACAACCUUGAUGUGAAAUCGAGUAGGGCGGGACACGUGACAUCCUGUCUGAAUAUGGGGGGACCAUCCUCCAAGGCUAAAUACUCCUGACUGACCGAUAGUGAACCAGUACCGUGAGGGAAAGGCGAAAAGAACCCCUGUGAGGGGAGUGAAAUAGAACCUGAAACCGUGUACGUACAAGCAGUGGGAGCCCUUCGGGGUGACUGCGUACCUUUUGUAUAAUGGGUCAGCGACUUACAUUUUGUAGCGAGGUUAACCGUAUAGGGGAGCCGUAGGGAAACCGAGUCUUAACUGGGCGUCUAGUUGCAAGGUGUAGACCCGAAACCGGGUGAUCUAGCCAUGGGCAGGUUGAAGGUUGAGUAACAUCAACUGGAGGACCGAACCCACUAACGUUGCAAAGUUAGGGGAUGACCUGUGGCUGGGGGUGAAAGGCCAAUCAAACUCGGAGAUAGCUGGUUCUCCCCGAAAGCUAUUUAGGUAGCGCCUCGCGAAUACUACUCCGGGGGUAGAGCACUGUUUGGGCUAGGGGGUCAUCCCGACUUACCAACCCCAUGCAAACUCCGAAUACCAGUAAGUAAUAUCCGGGAGACACACGGCGGGUGCUAACGUCCGUCGUGAAGAGGGAAACAACCCAGACCGCCGGCUAAGGUCCCAAAGUUCUGGUUAAGUGGGAAACGAUGUGGGAAGGCUCAGACAGCUAGGAUGUUGGCUUAGAAGCAGCCAUCAUUUAAAGAAAGCGUAAUAGCUCACUAGUCGAGUCGGCCUGCGCGGAAGAUGUAACGGGGCUCAAACCAGGCACCGAAGCCGCGGAUUCACACUUAUGUGUGAGUGGUAGGGGAGCGUUCUGUAAGUCUGCGAAGGUGUAUCGAGAGGUAUGCUGGAGAUAUCAGAAGUGCGAAUGCUGACGUAAGUAACGAUAAAGGGGGUGAAAAGCCUCCUCGCCGGAAGACCAAGGGUUCCUGUCCAACGUUAAUCGGGGCAGGGUGAGUCGACCCCUAAGGCGAGGCCGAAAGGCGUAGUCGAUGGGAAGCAGGUUAAUAUUCCUGCACGACUUGUAAUUGCGAUGGGGGGACGGAGAAGGCUAGGUGGGCCAGGCGACGGUUGUCCUGGUGAAAGUGCGUAGGUGGUGUUUGUAGGCAAAUCCGCAGACACAACGCUGAGACACGAUGACGACACACUACGGUGUGGAAGCCAUUGAUGCCCUGCUUCCAGGAAAAGCCUCUAAGCUUCAGAUUACAAGUCAAAUCGUACCCCAAACCGACACAGGUGGUCGGGUAGAGAAUACCAAGGCGCUUGAGAGAACUCGGGUGAAGGAACUAGGCAAAAUAGAACCGUAACUUCGGGAGAAGGUUCGCUCCUGACAGUGAAGUCCCUUGCGGAUGGAGCAGUUGGGAGUCGCAGUGACCAGAUGGCUGGGACUGUUUAUCAAAAACACAGCACUCUGCAAACACGAAAGUGGACGUAUAGGGUGUGACACCUGCCCGGUGCCGGAAGGUUAAUUGAUGGGGUUAGCGCAAGCGAAGCUCUUGAUCGAAGCCCCGGUAAACGGCGGCCGUAACUAUAACGGUCCUAAGGUAGCGAAAUUCCUUGUCGGGUAAGUUCCGACCUGCACGAAUGGUGUAACCAUGGCCAUGCUGUCUCCACCCGAGACUCAGUGAAAUCGAAUUCGCCGUGAAGAUGCGGUGUACCCGCGGCUAGACGGAAAGACCCCGUGAACCUUUACUACAGCUUGGCACUGAACAUUGAACCUACAUGUGUAGGAUAGGUGGGAGGCUUUGAAGUGCGGACGCCAGUCUGCCUGGAGCCGUCCUUGAAAUACCACCCUUGUAUGUUUGAUGUUCUAACGAGGGCCCUGAAUCGGGCUCGCGGACAGUGCCUGGUGGGUAGUUUGACUGGGGCGGUCUCCUCCCAAAGAGUAA
rnacentral:rRNA from 1 species